AUUGAACGCUGGCGGCAGGCCUAACACAUGCAAGUCGAGCGAGCGGCGGACGGGUGAGUAAUGUAUGGGGACUGCACGAUAGAGGGGGAUAACUUCUGGAAACGGUAGCUAAUACCGCAUUAUAUCGGAUAACCCAUAGGGGAUUAGGUAGUAGGUGAGGUAAUGGCUCACCUCGGCAACGAUCCCUAGCUGGUCUGAGAGGAUGAUCAGCCACACUGGGACUGAGACACGGCCCAGACUCCUACGGAGGCAGCAGUGGGGAAUAUUGCACAAUGGGGGCAAGCCUGAUGCAGCCAUGCCGCGUGUAUGAAGAAGGCCCUAGGGUUGUAAAGUACUUUCAGUCGGGAGGCGUUACCGACAGAAGAAGCACCGGCUAACUCCGUGCCAGCCGCCGCGGUAAUUC
rnacentral:rRNA from 1 species